UGUCAUCCACGACGUUUGUAGCAAUUCAGGAAGAUCGGGAGCCCCGUGCCGAGGCCUCCCAUAGCAUGGUGGGUGGCUGAAGCACGACCCUACUCCCUCGUGGGUAGAGGGGGCAUUGAAUUUUUGGUAGUGGGGCCAGGCGUACGCGCCGGCCCCGC
rnacentral:snRNA from 1 species